rnacentral:sRNA from 1 species
UGUUUCUGAAAAUUCUAACAUCCAAACACAAGUCAGUAUUCCAAUCCACAGCAAAUAAGAUAGUCAGUAUUCCAUUCCAUAGCAACAGAAGAUAGAAAGACUCCCUUACAUUAACAGAUCAGUCCAUCUCUCAAACCUCAUAAGAAAUGUUUCCUUUUGUGUUAGAUGGUGAUGACAACUAACACAGAGACCCACACUAGUCAAGAUUCCUGGAGACUGCAUCAUUUGUAACAAAUGGAGGUUUAUUUGGCUUGGGAUGAGGGAAGCAGAGUGAAGAAGUAUGCUUUCUGUGUCUAGUAGGGUUCCUAAUGCUGCAUCAUUCUGUGGUGUGAGCCCAGUCUACCUAGGAACCAGCAUCUAGAAAGAAGACAGCUACAAGAGAGAAGACAGUACCUGUGCACCCAGGCCCUUCAGUCAUGUGUGCAUGAAGUAAAGAAUAGGAGUUCCCUAGAUCAGAAUGGCCGUGGUUUCUUCAGUUGCCUCUCACCUUUAUGAAGAAUGAACUGUGGGGUAUUUGGAUCCUCUUUGUCACCCCAGUAAAGAAAUCUCUUUCCAUGUGAAGGAAUCCAGCCCUCAGCUCUAAGCCUACAAGCAUGAAGAUUAGGAGCAUGUGUUUAUGCGAGCCAAGUGCAAGCUGAUACCCCUGGAGGCCAGCAGAGGCCAUUGAAUCCUCUGGAAAUGAAAUUACAGGCAGCUGUGAUGGGUGCCUGACCCUGGAUCCACUGCAAGGAGAAAUCCCCUGAACAGUUGGUGACUAGAUGAUAUAACAUGUUAUCUACAGAACAAGACUAGAAUAAUAGUUUUAAGAUCAUUCCAUUAAAUGUAGAGAAGUUAAAGGAAGACACGAUGGACAGUAAUGAGAUUCCACAUCUGAGACUGGGCAGCAGCUCCCAGCCAGACUGGCCCAGCAUGCACUGAUUUAGCUCACUUUACCUCACAUUCAGUCGCAUCCAUCAACAACUGUCAAGAUACUGAUGAUACCCUUACAGAAGCUGGCAACCUGAGGGCAGGCCGGAUGAAAGAGUGACGAAAGGCUGGGACGUUGUGACUUCUUUGGCGAGAGCUCACCCUCUGAAUGGAAAGCUGACUCUGUUUCGGGGCCUUAGGAAAAGGUCUAAUAAACGUGCUCUGGUAAUCUUC